UACAGUGGCGAACGGGUGAGUAACACGUGACUAACCUGCCUUCUAGUGGGGGAUAACUCCGGGAAACCGGGGCUAAUACCGCAUAACAUCCUUUGGUGAAAUUCCUGGGGAUCAAAGCAGCAAUACGCUGGAAGAGGGGGUCGCGGCCGAUUAGCUAGUUGGCGGGGUAAUGGCCCACCAAGGCAGUGAUCGGUAGCCGGCCUGAGAGGGCGCACGGCCACACUGGAACUGAAACACGGUCCAG
rnacentral:rRNA from 1 species